CAAUAGCGUAUAUUAAAGUUGUUGCAGUUAAAAAGCUCGUAGUUGGAUUUCUGGUCGGAAGCUCCUGUCCUCUGAUGAGCGUACAAGUGCGUCCUACCAUCCUUCUGUUAACCUUUAAGGCUUUCGCGGCUUUCUAGGGGCUCAGAUAUUUUACCUUGAGAAAAUUAGAGUGUUUCAGGCAGGCUAGCGCCGGAAUACAUUAGCAUGGAAUAAUGGAAUAGGACUUUUGCCUCUUCUGUUGGUCAUGUGGCUCGAGUAAUGAUUAAUAGGGAUAGUUGGGGGCAUUAGUACUUAACUGUCAGAGGUGAAAUUCUCGGAUUUGUUAAAGACUAACUUAUGCGAAAGCAUUUGCCAAGGAUGUUUUCAUUAA
rnacentral:rRNA from 1 species